rnacentral:rRNA from 1 species
UAGAGUUUGAUCCUGGCUCAGAACGACCGUUGGCGGCGUGGAUAAGACAUGCAAGUCGGACGCUAGAUUGUCUGUAGCAAUACUCGCAGUCUGGAGUGGCGUAAGGGUGCGUAACACGUGGGUAAUUUGCCUGGAAGCCCGGGAUAACUCCGAGAAAUCGGAGCUAAUACCGGAUGCGAUCAGGGGCUGGCAUCAGCUCCUGCUCAAAGUCGGGGACCGUAAGGCCUGACACUACCAGAUAAGCCCGCGGCCUAUCAGCUAGUUGGCGGGGUAACGGCCCACCAAGGCUAAGACGGGUAGCUGGUCUGAGAGGACGACCAGCCACACUGGAACUGAGACACGGUCCAGACACCUACGGGUGGCAGCAGUCGAGAAUUUUUCACAAUGGGGGAAACCCUGAUGGAGCGACGCCGCGUGGGGGAUGAAUGGCUUCGGCCCGUAAACCCCUGUCAUUUGCGAACAAACCUGGUGGUUGAACAAACUACCAGCUGAUAGUAGCAGAAGAGGAAGGGACGGCUAACUCUGUGCCAGCAGCCGCGGUAAUA